rnacentral:rRNA from 1 species
AUUGAACGCUGGCGGCAGGCCUAACACAUGCAAGUCGAGCGAGCGGCGGACGGGUGAGUAAUGUCUGGGAAACUGCCUGAUGGAGGGGGAUAACUAAUGGAAACGGGAGAUAAAACCGCAAAACAUCAGAGGUGCCCAGAUGGGGUUAGCUAGUAGGUGGGGUAACGGCUCACCUAGGCGACGAUCCCUAGCUGGUCCGAGAGGAUGAACAGCCACACUGGAACUUAGACACGGUCCAGACGCCUACGGGAGGCAGCGGUGGGGAAUAUGGCACAAUGGGCGCAAGCCUUAUGCAGCCAUGCCGCGUGUGUGAAGAAGGCCUUCGGGUUGUAAAGUACUUUCAGCGGGGAGGCGUUACCCGCAGAAGAAGCACCGGCUAACUCCGUGCCAGCCGCCGCGGUAAUAC